rnacentral:rRNA from 1 species
GCGUUGCUCGGAAUUACUGGGCGUAAAGGGAGCGUAGGCGGACAUUUAAGUCAGGGGUGAAAUCCCGGGGCUCAACCUCGGAAUUGCCUUUGAUACUGGGUGUCUUGAGUAUGAGAGAGGUAUGUGGAACUCCGAGUGUAGAGGUGAAAUUCGUAGAUAUUCGGAAGAACACCAGUGGCGAAGGCGACAUACUGGCUCAUUACUGACGCUGAGGCUCGAAAGCGUG